GGUGGUAGAGAUAAUGAUAGUGGUGGUGGUAGUGGUGGUGAUGGUAGAGAUAAUGGUGAUAAGAACAAUGGAAAUGGUUGUGGAGACAAUGACAUAUAGUGGUGAUGGUGGUUGUAGUUGUGGUGUCGGUGAUGGUGAUAAUAGACGUGAGUCUAUCAUUUUUGAAAAUAGUAAAGUAAGAAUUUCUUGAUUCAUUUUUAGAGAUAAA
rnacentral:lncRNA from 1 species